AUGGAGUACAAUGGCGCAAUCUCCGCCCAUGGCCUUCCAGAAGGACGCUCUCCAUCUUUAACACAAAGGGAGUCUCAAGCUUGUACUUGCUCCUCCUCCCAGUUUCUCCAGGAGAGCCCAGGAGCUCCUCAUCCAACAGCAUUCCCGGUCACUUGUCCUGAUGUCGUAGAGAGAAAGCAGGAAACUUCAUACCCAACAAAGAUCUUUAUCUCUAACGAGAAGAACAAGAGCACUUAGCACAAAGCAACAGGCUGACGGAGGGGUCGAAACAAAUACGCCCUCUGAGCCUACGGACAGACCAUAACCAAAUGGUGGAG
rnacentral:lncRNA from 13 species